CGCGGGAGCGGCUCGUGCCGCGCGGCGCUCGCGUGCAGCCGGUCCCGGGCGGGAAGGAGCGGAGCGCGAGCGCUGCCCGGCCUGAGGGCUCUCAGCCGGGCCUUGGCUGCGGGGGCCUCUGAAAAACAAUAUGGGACCGUGUAAUUAAAGACGCUCAUAAUGAGCUCAAAUCUUUAUUUUCCUGAAGGACCGAACCCUUGUCUAUGUGUUUUAACACUUUGGAAAAAAACCCCAAACCCUAUGAAAACCAGCACAAAUGUCAGGCAGACUGAGGUUUUCCUCUGCAAAUCCAAAGAUCCUGAACUAUUCCUGCUGUGCAAGGUCAGCAGCCAGAAAGAACAUCCCCAGCCCCCCAGAGCAUCACGUCCCAAGUGUGUAGGUUAAGACUGUGCCUGCCAACCAAAGCCAUGUUAAAGUCCACAGAAGGUCAUGAUGGG
rnacentral:lncRNA from 1 species